AGUAGGAUGGGCGGAGUCGAACAUGUGACUGCCUGUGAGAGAAAAGACUAAGGAAAGAAUGUUUCCUCAGUUUUGUAUUGACAGUCUACUGGAUAGCACAAAGGCUUAGAAAAAACAUGAUGUUUUGGGUUCAAAAGUUUUUUAUAAUUGUCUUCUGCAUACUUGGAUGCAGAGGGCAGGACGCUGUGGAACAGCCAGAAGGGGAGAUGAUUCACAUUGAGGGAGGAACGGUGACUCUCAACUGUGGAUACAAAACAACUAGAUCAACACAAGACCUUUACUGGUAUAUACAAAGACCAAAGGACUUCCCCAAAUUUAUACUUAAAAGAGACAAUUAUGGAAUUGGGGAAAAUGGCACUGAGUUCAAUGAGAGAUUUCACUCCAACCUAAACGUCACCUCCAGCUCAGUUCCUCUGAUCAUCCAGAAUCUGCAAGUGUCUGACUCUGCUGUGUACUACUGUGCUCUGAGGCCCACAGUGACAGCUGCACACUCAGCACUCACACAAAAACCCCUUGCAUUAAGGGAACACCAACACAUUUCUAUGAAGAUAGGGACAACAGACUAAAUGAUUU